rnacentral:rRNA from 1 species
GCUGGCGGCACGCCUAACACAUGCAAGUCGAACGCAGUAGCAAUACUGAGUGGCAAACGGGUGAGUAUAAUGUGGGAAUCUGCCUUUUGGUUUGGAAUAACACGGGGAAACUUGUGCUAAUACCGAAUAAGCCCUUACGGGGAAAGUUUUAAUGCCGAAAGAUGAGCCCGCACUUGAUUAGCUAGUUGGUAAGGUAAAAGCUUACCAAGGCAACGAUCAAUAGCUGUUCUUAGAGGAAGACCAGCCACAUUGGGACUGAGACACGGCCCAGACUCCUACGGGAGGCAGCAGUGGGGAAUCUUGCACAAUGGGGGAAACCCUGAUGCAGCGAUGCCGCGUGAGUGAAGAAGGCCCUUGGGUUGUAAAACUCUUUCGUCGGGGAAGAAAAUGACUGUACCCGAAUAAGAAGGUCCGGCUAACUUCGUGCCAGCAGCCGCGGUAAUACGAAGGGACCUAGCGUAGUUCGGAAUUACUGGGCUUAAAGAGCUCGUAGGUGGUUAAAAUAGUUGAUGGUGAAAUCCCAAGGCUCAACCUUGGAACUGCCAUCAAAACUUUUUAGCUAGAGUGUGAUAGAGGUAAGUGGAAUUUCUAGUGUAGAGGUGAAAUUCGUAGAUAUUAGAAAGAACACCAAAUGCGAAGGCAACUUACUGGGUCACUACUGACACUGAGGAGCGAAAGCAUGGGUAGCGAAGAGGAUUAGAUACCCUCGUAGUCCAUGCCGUAAACGAUGUGUGCUAGACGUUGGAAAUAUAUUUUUCAGUGUCGCAGCGAAAGCAUUAAGCACACCGCCUGGGGAGUACGACCGC